GAUGAACGCUGGCGGCGUGCCUAAUACAUGCAAGUCGAGCGAACGGACGAGAAGCUUGCUUCUCUGAUGUUAGCGGCGGACGGGUGAGUAACACUUGGAUAACCUACCUAUAAGACUGGGAUAACUUCGGGAAACCGGAGCUAAUACCGGAUAAUAUUUUGAACCGCAUGGUUCAAAAGUGAAAGACGGUCUUGCUGUCACUUAUAGAUGGAUCCGCGCUGCAUUAGCUAGUUGGUAAGGUAACGGCUUACCAAGGCAACGAUGCAUAGCCGACCUGAGAGGGUGAUCGGCCACCCUGGAACUGAGACAAGGGCCAGACUCCUACGGGAGGCAGCAAUAGGGAAGCUUCCGCAAUGGGCGAAAGCAUGACGGAGCAACGCCGCGUGAGUGAUGAAGGUCUUCGGAUCGUAAAACUCUGUUAUUAGGGAAGAACAUAUGUGUAAGUAACUGUGCACAUCUUGAAGGUACCUAAGCAGAAAGCCACGGCUAACUACGUG
rnacentral:rRNA from 1 species